CUCAGAAGACUCAACCCCCCUACAGCCCAGAUUUGGUGCCCUGCAACUUCUGUCUUUUCCCAAAACUAAAAUCACCUUUGAAAGGGAAGAGAUUUCAGACUGUUGAUGAGAUUCAGAAGAAUACGAUGGAGCAGCUAAUGGUGAUUGGGGGAACUUUGUGAGGUCCCAAGGUGCCUACUUUGAAGAGGACUGAGGUGUCAUUGUCUUAUGUACAAUGUUUAUUGUAUCUUUUUCAAUAAAUUUCUCUAUUUUUUAUAGCACAUUCAUUGCUGGAUA